UACGUAGGUGGCAAGCGUUGUUCGGAUUCACUGGGCGUAAAGGGUGCGUAGGUGGUGGGGUAAGUUUGAUGUGAAAGCUCCGAGCUUAACUCGGAAAUGGCAUUGAAUACUAUCCUGCUUGAGGUUUGGAGGGGGGACUGGAAUUCUCGGUGUAGCAGUGAAAUGCGUAGAUAUCGAGAGGAACACCAGUGGCGAAGGCGAGUCCCUGGACAACACCUGACACUGAGGCACGAAAGCUAGGGGAGCAAACAGG
rnacentral:rRNA from 1 species